UACGGAGGGUGCGAGCGUUGUCCGGAAUCACUGGGCGUAAAGGGCGCGUAGGCGGCUCAUGAAGGCUGUGGUGAAAGUCCGGGGCUCAACCUCGGAUUGGCCGUGGCGACUCGUGGGCUGGAGCACUGUAGAGGCGGGUGGAAUUCCGGGUGUAGCGGUGGAAUGCGUAGAGAUCCGGAAGAACACCAGUGGCGAAGGCGGCCCGCUGGGCAGUGGCUGACGCUGAAGCGCGACAGCGUGGGGAGCAAACAGG
rnacentral:rRNA from 1 species